rnacentral:misc_RNA from 1 species
AUAUUAAAUUGGUGGAAAGUUCACACUCCAAAGUAUCCUAUACUAGCUAUGAUGGCACGGAAUAUUUUGGGAAUUCCUAUGUCAAAAGGUACACCUGAGUCUGCUUUUAACAAUGGAGGGAGAGUGCUUGACAGUGAAUGGAGUUCAAUGCGACCAACUACUGUGCAAGCUUUGAUGUGCUCACAAGAUUGGAUGAGUGAAGUAGAAAUAUGAUACAUUUCCAAUAUUAUUCCGUAAGUUUAUUUAGAUAUUCUCUAUAUACUUUCUUUCCGUAACGAUAAACCAUUCUCCCCCAUGCUUUUUUGCGGAUUAGCAAGUCAACUUUACUCAACCCUUUUUUAAUCCCUCUCUCUUUGAUAUUUUCA